rnacentral:rRNA from 1 species
UCGGGUUAAUAUUCCCGAACCAGCUUGGAUGUGUUGACGUCAGCAGGGACGAAGAAGGAUAGCUCAGCCGGGCGAUGGUGCCGGUUCAAGCUCGUAGAUGGAUUCCCUAGGACCGUACCGGACAAACGGGGGAUCGAAACAUCGAGAAGCGAUGAGGGAUAGACCGCCUCGGCGGAAAGUCAAACUGAGUGAUUCCAUGCUUCCUAGAAAAGCUGCGGGCCGAGCAUUCCGGCUGUCCGUACCGCAAACCGACUCAGGUGGGCGGGAAGAGCAUUCCAAGGCGUUUGAGAGAACCGUGGUUAAGGAACUAGGCAAAUUGACACCGUAACUUCGGGAUAAGGUGUGCCUCCGAGGUGGAGCUGAACAGGCCGAGCCAGAAGAGGUCGCAGAGAAUAGGGGGUAGCGACUGUUUACCAAAAACACAGGUCUGUGCGAAGUCAUGAAGACGACGUAUACGGACUGACGCCUGCCCGGUGCUGGAAG